CUGUAGUUUGGAGAAGUGCUGGUGAGGAAGGAAACCCUGCCUGAGCAGAGGAGUGAGAGAAACCCUGCCCAAGGGGAAAGAGGAUGGGGAGCUGCAACACAGGGAACCUAAGUGACCCGCCCAGAGUCCCACAUGGAGUCAGUGGCAGAAUUGGAAAUGGAACCCAGAUCUUGAGUUCCAGGCCUGUGCUGAACCACAAGAGCAACUUUUUCCUAGUGAACAUGACGUGUAGCUGGAGGAGGAGCAAUGAGAGACCGGACAAUACCUCUUAACUUAAAAAGAAAAUGGCUGCAAGCAGGAACCAAGGGCUGGGUCUGGAUCCCGGGAGCCACACUGUUGCAGCAGGAGAGGAAGCCACAUGCAAGAAAAGGAAAUCCAGCUCCAAAUGCCCAUGUCUUUUCACUGUAAUUAAAAUGCCAAAGAAACAAGAAGAUGAUCAAUUAAAGGGUUCUUUUCAACUGAAGAGCCAAGGACCUCCUCUCCCCAUAAUGACCCCCAAAGUUUGUUCAUGUUAACUGAAACCAGGUCAAGGUCAAAGCUGCUUGUUUUGUAAAAUUCACUGAACUGUGUUCCCCACUAAAUGAAUGUGGCUUAGUGGCUGGAAGAGGAGAUCGGGAAUCUGAACUCCUAGGUUCCGUUCCUAGCUCUGCCACUGAAAUGUCGUGUCACUUUGACCAAGUCUCUUCACCUCACUGUGUCUCAGCUUCCCCUCAUAUACGAAAUAGGGUUUGUCUCCGAAGUUAAUCUAAGCGGGAGAGUGUUCCACCCGCCAGUGACAAAGACGACGUGGGACAAUUGCAGACUUUGAAACCUACCCUGACAAAGCUUCUGCCUCUCAGGGGCAGAGGUUUCACUAGCAUUCAUAAAGUCUCAAAAGUCCUCGGAUGCCAGGUAUCAGAGGUGCUGAAAAGAUACUACUGCUUUACCAGCUCCAGAACGCAACCACUGGCAAGGGAAGAUGUGCCCUUUUCUAACAUCGUGUACUAUACUGAUGCUCCCAACCCUUCCCCUGCUCCACUGAGAAAGGAUGCAAAAAGGAAAGGUUUCAUAGUCUGAGUUUUCAACAAAUGCCCAUGCUGGUCUGUCUCUACAAUUUGUUGUAUGUAUGGGAAAAAAGUGAGGCACAUCCAAGCACAGAUUCAGAGAACACAAAAGCUCUCUACAUAGGGAAAUUCCACUUCACCAAUUAUGUCAUGUUUUGACUCAUAAUCAACAUCAUUUGCUCACUCUGGGACAGAGACACUGAAAGAAUCACUAUUCCAAGAAACAGAACUCAGUGGAGCAAAUGUAAACAAGGAGGCCUUUCAUGAACAGUUUCUGCAUCCGAGGACAAAGGAAGGAAAUAUUUUUUUCAAGUUUGUAACAAACUCUGGUGGUCAUGCAUUUGCUUAACUACUAAAGUUCAAGCACCAGCUUGAAAAGGUUGAACAUUACAGACAGCACUUGGACAACUGAAUACUGAAGAUUUAUCUGUCUGGGGACUGAAGUGUGUAGGAACAACAAUAAUCCCAAAGAUGACAACUUCUUUAUACACAAAAAUUACCCCGUAAAAGGACUUACUAAGCAUCAUUAUGUUACUGUUUAUGGCUUAAAAGCAUCUGAUUUUAAGCACGGAUAACAACAAAGAUCCAAUAGGUCUUCCAGUGUCUCUUGAUGGAGCUUACGAGGUCUUUACAAGUAACUCAGUGUCUGACUUGAUUAGACUUUUCACUGGUUCUUAAAUCUAAAAGAAGGCUUUUAACUCAGUAAGUGUCCUCACAAGCAUUACCUCAACCACAAAGAUUUUAGAAGAGUUUGUUCAGUGGGACUAACUAGCAAGUUGGCACACUGCUCUGAACUCAUCCUCUGAUUAAAUCCCAACCUCCUACACACAAACCACAAAUACCUUUCGCAGCUGCUAUCUGCACUGUACUGGAACAAGCACACUAGCUAAACACCACUAAAAAGUAUGAGAGCCACCACACAAUACAUUCAGCACGCUACGGUAUCCACACACCAACUACUGAGAUUAAGAGAGCCAGCCAGUCCCAGGUCUCUGGUGUCCCAAAACCUCUUAAAA